rnacentral:misc_RNA from 1 species
UGGUGUAUCCACUUUUGAGUUUAUUGGAAGUGGGGUUGUAGCAGCGCUGCUGAAUUAUUUUUCUUGUGGUUACUUUUCCAGGGAGAGAAUUUCAGAUGGUAAUCUGUCCAAGCUUCGUCAACAGGCACUUAUAAGAUUUAAGUUAUUUGUUGCACUUGCCCUUCCUUCGAGUCUUGAUGAGGGGAGUUCAGCUCCUUUGACUGUCUUGGUUCAAAAGCUUCAAAAUGCCUUGUCAUCUCUAGAACGUUUUCCUGUUGUUCUGAGCCAU